rnacentral:rRNA from 1 species
CGAAUGAGGAGAUUCAUCGUCAGCUUAUUCAGUAUUAAUGCAGGCUAUGAUGUGAUAAUAGAAUCCUUGUGGUCACUAGAUUAUACUUGCUUGUAUUAUUUUUGCUGGGUAUGUCGGCGUGCACUUCUCCUCUAGUAGAACGUCGCAACCCGUUGGAUGUUUAUCUAUGGCUUGAAUGGUAGCCUUUGAUAUUUUUUAUAUUGAAGACCUUCGAUGCCCUGAUAAACUGUUUGACGGUAUACAUAUGGUAUUGAGCCCCAAUUAUUUGCGUUAGACUUGCCGCAAGUAUGACUUUAUUCUAGUAGUGCGGAUCUAAUGCCGUCGCUGGCACAAAGUCUGCUGUUAGC